AUUGAACGCUGGCGGCAGGCCUAACACAUGCAAGUCGAACGAGUGGCGGACGGGUGAGUAGUGUCUGGGAAACUGCCUAAUGGAGGGGUCUAACUACUGGAAACGGUAGCUAAUACCGCAUACCCUCGUUUGUGCCCAGAUGGGAUUAGCUAGUAGGUGGGGUAAAGGCUCACCUAGGCGACGAUCCCUAGCUGGUCUGAGAGGAUGAUCAGCCACACUGGAACUGAGACACGGCCCAGACUCCUACGGGAGGCAGCAGUGGGGAAUAUUGGACAAUGGGCGCAAGCCUGAUGCAGCCAUGCCGCGUGUAUGAAGAAGGCCUUCGGGUUGUAAAGUACUGUCAUCGGGGAGGCGGUACCCGCAGAAGAAGCACCGGCUAACUCCGUGCCAGCAGCCGCGGUAAUAC
rnacentral:rRNA from 1 species